GAUGAACGCUGGCGGCGUGCCUAAUACAUGCAAGUAGAACGCUGAAGCUUGGUGCUUGCACCGAGCGGAUGAGUUGCGAACGGGUGAGUAACGCGUAGGUAACCUGCCUGGUAGCGGGGGAUAACUAUUGGAAACGAUAGCUAAUACCGCAUAACAGUAGAUAUUGCAUGAUAUCUGCUUGAAAGGGGCAAUUGCUCCACUACCAGAUGGACCUGCGUUGUAUUAGCUAGUUGGUGAGGUAACGGCUCACCAAGGCGACGAUACAUAGCCGACCUGAGAGGGUGAUCGGCCACACUGGGACUGAGACACGGCCCAG
rnacentral:rRNA from 1 species